rnacentral:rRNA from 1 species
UACGGAGGGUGCAAGCGUUAUCCGGAUUCACUGGGUUUAAAGGGUGCGUAGGUGGGUAGGUAAGUCAGCGGUGAAAUCCCCGAGCUUAACUUGGGAACUGCCAUUGAUACUAUCUGUCUUGAAUACCUUGGAGGUGAGCGGAAUAUGUCAUGUAGCGGUGAAAUGCUUAGAUAUGACAUAGAGCACCAAUUGCGAAGGCAGCUCACUACACGGUCAUUGACACUGAGGCACGAAAGCGUGGGGAUCAAACAGG